UAGCUUAUAUUUGGUCAUAGUCCUUUGUUCUUUUCCGAUUCUGUGGUGGGAUCGUUCCUUUUGAUCACUUUGGCUGAUAGUGUUCUUUUGGGUGAGCAGGAGAAUUAAUCUCAAUAUCGACACCAAAAUUCUCCAAAUGCUGGAACUUACUAGCGGUGUUCUUCGAGGAUGAAUCUUCCAGCUGAAUUUGCUAGGCUACCUUUUGGGUUUUUUGAUGCGGUCCGCCCGUGAUGGGUAUGAUCUGGUCCAGUUCCACAAUCUAAGGAAAGUGGAGGGAGCAACCACUCCAUCCAACUCCCCGCUCUCCGAAGCUGAGAAGAGCUCCUCCUCCAUUCUUGGAAUUGAGUUCUGUCCGUGUAUGAGAGAGAGAAGAGGAAGAGAAAACGUGGUGGCUACGAUCUCACUCUCUUCCCCUUUUCCAUGGAAGAUGAAGGAUGAACAGUGCUCUCUUUAGAUUCCUCCCAUUAAACUACGAGCUCGCUGGAUUUUCUGUUCGCGAGACCGUAUAUAGGUUAAGAUGGCCGCCCUUGCAGUCAACGAGAGGCGCGUCAGUUUUUCCACAUUUGAGUUGUGGGCAUACGUGGCCACUCCGCAUGAGGACUGUCUUCCAUGGAGCUCUCUCACACGACAAGAUCCUGGGGAAGGGAAGCAAAGUCCCUGAUCUAAAUGGGCGAAAUUUACUGCGGGUGACAUGCCAAAUGAGCUCUUAGUCUCAUUAGACGAUGGUUCUCUUUUCAUGUUGUAGCUGGAAGAAGAGGAGUAACUUGACCAGGUCCACCAGGACAUCAUGCUGCAUUCUUUUUUUUAUUGGUUAGUUGAUUUUUAGCUGAGUGAAUGAAACUAACCACUACCCCUGGUUUGACGAUUUGUCUGUCGUGUGUCAUAAUAAAUCAUCCGUUGUACUUGCAACAUCAUCAACCCCUGGUGAUUGCUUUUGGGCUGUAAUCCAGUGUGAUGAAGAAAACCUACUUUUUUGUUUUUAGCUGAACUAUUAUCAAUUUUGUAGUCAGGCAUGUGGGCAUCACUAGAGUCUGGAAAAUAUGUCUAUUUCUUUGGCGGUCUUGUCUUAGCUUGCUGACAUUCUGUGCCAAUAAUAGUGCUGUAAGGAUCAAGCCAUCUUUGCUUGUUGGGAAUUCGGUCUGGAAGGUAGGGCCAAUUUCUUCCGUCAGAAUGCAAGAAUAUGACUGGAUAGUAUCUUUGGUGAUCAAACAUUCCAGUCAGCAGUCUCUUCAAGAUUAUUUUUUUAUUUCAUGCAAAGUGUAAGAACAAAGCGGUUAACUUGUUUGAUGAUGAAAUGUUCAUUGGCAUAAUAUUCUAUUCAUGA